GAAGUUUUAGUUAAAUUAGUAUAACAUUAUCUUGUCAAGAUAAAAUUAUUUUGAAUUAAAUAAAUUUCU
rnacentral:tRNA from 1 species